rnacentral:rRNA from 1 species
CAUGUCCUUAGAGUUUUAUUUAAGGUCUAACCUGCCCACUGAAUAUAUUUUAAUGGCCGCAGUAAUUUGACUGUGCAAAGGUAGCAUAAUCAUUAGUUUUUUAAUUAAAAGCUUGUAUGAAGGGUUGGACGAGGUAAAAUCUGUCUCUAUUUAAUUUAAUUUAGAAUUUAACUUUUAAGUCAAAAGGCUUAAAUAUAAUUAAAAGACGAGAAGACCCUAUAGAUCUUAAUAAUUUACUUAUUAAAUUUAAUUAGGAAUUUUUAAAAUUUUAUUAAUAUAAUUAUUUUAUUGGGGUAAUAUAAAGAUUAAAUAAAUUCUUUAUUUUUAUUUACAUUAAUUUAUGAAUUUAUGAUCCAAUUUUAUUGAUUAUAAGAUUAAGUUACCUUAGGGAUAACAGCGUAAUUUUUUUAAAGAGUUCUUAUCGAUAAAAAAGUUUGCGACCUCGAUGUUGGAUUAAAGAUUAUUUCAGGUGUAGAAGUUUGAAAAUUUUGGUCUGUUCGACCAUUAAAUCUUUACAUGAUCUGAGUUCAGACCGGCGUAAGCCAGGUCGGUUUCUAUCUUUAAUAAAUUAAAAUAUUUUAGUACGAAAGGACCAAUUAUUUAAUAUAAAUUAUUUAGAUUUUGAUUAUUAUUAA